rnacentral:rRNA from 1 species
AACGAACGCUGGCGGCAUGCCUAAUACAUGCAAGUCGAACGCGCCCUUCGGGCCUUGUGGCGCAAGGGUAUGUACCGCGAGGGAACAUGCCCUUAGGUUCGGAAUAAUACCCUGCCUGGGAUGCUAAUAUCGGUAUUUGUAACCGGACCUAAGAUGUAUUGCCUUUGGUUGGUCCAGCGUGAGAUUUUGUAGUUGGUAAGGUAAACGCCUACCAAGGCGACGAGCCUUAGCUGGGUAGGGAGGAUGAUCAACAACACUGGGACAGAGACACGGCCCAGAUUCCUGCGGAUGGCAGCAGGGGGGAAUAUUGGACAAUGGGCGAAAGCCUGAGCCAUCAAUGCCGUGUGAGUGAUGAAGGCGUUAGGGUUGUAAAGCUCUGUUACCCGUGAUGAUAAUGACAGUACCUGAAGAAUAAGCGCCGGCUAACUCCGUG